CAGACUCUUGUUCGGGGCCUUGAAACAGUGAGCUGUCUUUGUUCGAAAUACAGGUGAACGGCAAUCAUGUGAUUAACACACACACACAUAAAAAGCUUUUUAACAGCGCCCGCCCGGCCUCAGAGCCGCCCAGAGAGGAGCCGCCCUGGACGGACAGAGGGACGGAGGGACGAGCAUCCCGUUGGUCUUGUCCGGCUGCCCGUGGCAGUCUCCAACACCCGCUGUGGCCCGUCCGCCGCCCGCUUGCCUGGCAUCCCUCGAUCCCGGUGGGUCCCUGCUCAUCCUUCCAGCCCUUGGUUCCUCCUCUUGAGGAGGUGUGGUGUCUGUGGCAUCCCUGACUCGGCCUGAGACCCCCCCUGGGGCGGGGAGGGGUAGUUACAGAGGGUAAGAAGCCAGGUGUGGGGUCCCAUGACUCCCCUUUUGACUGCCUGCCUCCUCCCUUACCGCUCCCCCCUCCUUGGCCCAGCUGUGCCAGGAUGGGGGUGGGGGUGGCGGUGGGCGCUCUGGGUCUGCAGAGAAGCCAGGCUGGACAGAAGAGUCUUCUCUCUUCCCCUCCCUCUGUCUCUGUCUCUCCCUCUCUUCCUGUUUCCAAGUGCUGUGCUGGGCUCUCUGCUGAGAGGUGCUGGGUGAGGAAGGUUCAUCCCUGGAGAGCAGGGGGUUUGGAGAUGGGGAGGGUUCCUGGAGGAGGACGACGAGGACACGGGGCCAAUGUCCUUGGCAGAACGAGCCUGGUGGCCAGCGCCCCCUUCUGCUCCUUUCUCCGCUGGAGAUGGGAGGGGUCCUUGCCCUCUCAUUCCCGACCCUCCCCCAGGAAUGCUGGUGACCCCUUACCACCCCCCAAUCCCACGUAUACCCAUCCUGGGAGAGGUGUGGUGCUGGGGAACUCUGGAGCCUGUUCUCUUUCCCCAGAAGGGAGGGUAUAAUGGUAAGGUUCAGGCUGGCUACCCUGGGUGGAGGCCUUUCAGGACCGGCAGGGUUUUUCUGGGAUCCAACCUGGGUUCUGUGGAGCUGGUCCCAGAUUUACUCCUGAGAUAGGCCCCUGAGAGGUAGAGAGCAAAUGAAAUUCUGUCCAUCAGAUGUAAAGCCCACUGAUGACUCUGCCUGGUGGAGCUGCUUUGGGUCUGCCGUGACCCUUAACCCUUUAGCUCCUGAGUCCUCUUCUGGGGGGCACUGGUCCAGCUUUGUGGAAGGUCCCUGUCCCUCAUCUGUCCCCUGGGGCAUUGGUUACCUCCCCCCACCUGCCUCCCAGAUCCCCAGGUAAGCUGUGAUGGGGAAAUCUGCUGUUCAGCUGAGCCAGGGCCAAGCAGCAAGGCCCUUCAGCACCUCCAGGCACGAGGAAGAGACCCGCAUGGUUCAGCUUGUCCUCUCACUCCUUCCUCAGGCCUGUGCCCAGCUCCCACUUUCUGACCAGCUCCCAGCAAUUACCUCGAGCAUCGAGCAUCGCUUCUAAAUCUUGCUGCACUUUAGGGUCGCUGUGGCGUCUUAAAGAAACACUGAAGCCUGGGUCCCCUACAGACUGGCUAAUUCUGAAUUUCUGGGCAUGGGGUUCAGAAGUGUUUGCUUCUUGCAGCACCCUGGGAGGCCUUGCUCUCCCUGACUGGGGUUUUUGGAACCCCGAGGCUGUGGUGACCCCCUGCAGAACCCAAAAUCUCCCCAGAGAAGGGAGGGGGCUGGACUCUGGACCCCUGAGCUGGAGGCCAGAGCCGCAGUGACCCUGUGGUGUUUGGGGAGCUGUAG
ensembl:lncRNA